CUUACCACUUUGUGAUUCAUGACUGGGGUGAAGUCGUAACAAGGUAACCGUAGGGGAACCUGCGGUUGGAUCACCUCCUUACCUUAAAGAA
rnacentral:rRNA from 4 species